rnacentral:rRNA from 1 species
AUGGCUGGCGAGGAGCCGACCACGUUCGCGGAGGCCGAGCAAGAGGAGUGCUGGCGCCACGCGAUGCUAGAUGAGCUGGCGUCGAUCAACGACAACGCCACUUGGACACUCACCACACUGCCUGCUGGGCACCGAGCCAUCGGGCUCAAGUGGGUGUUCAAGGUGAAGAAGGACGAGCACUGCGCCAUUGUCAAGCACAAGGCGCGCCUCAUCGCAAAGGGCUACGUGCAGCAUGAGGGGGUGGACUUCGAGGAAGUCUUUGCUCCGGUGGCAAGGCUGGAGUCGGUGCUACUCAUCCUUGUCGUGGCCGCUCACCGCGGGUGGGAGGUACACCACAUGGAUGUCAAGUCGGCGUUUCUCAACGGCGACCUUAACGAGGAGGUGUAUGUCACCCAGCCACCCAGGUUCGUUGCAAAGGGCCAUGAGCAGGGCGUGUAUCGACUACACAAGGCCCUGUAUGGUCUCCGGCAAGCCCCAAGGGCGUGGAACACCAAGCUCGAUGCAAGCCUCGCAUCCCUUGGGUUCUCACGCAGCGCUUCUGAGCACGGUGUGUACUCGCGUGGCACCGCGAACACGCUGCUCAUCGCCGGCAUCUACAUCGACGACCUGGUCAUCGCCGGGGCAGAGCCUGAAGAGGUUCAACGCUUCAAGGGAGAGAUGCAUCGUCUCUUCAGUAUGAGCGACCUCGGGCUGCUCCGGUACUACCUCGGGCUAGAGGUGAACCAGGAGGGUGGUUGCAUCACGAUCACGCAGACGGCCUACGCCACCAAGAUGCUCGAGCGAGCAGGCAUGAAGGACUGUCAUGCCGUGCACGCUCCAAUGGAGGCACGGCUGAAGCUCAGCAAGGAGAGCUCCGAGAAGGCGGUGGAUGCUACACUCUACCGUAGCAUCAUCGGGAGUCUCAGGUACCUCGUGCACACCCGACCGGACAUCACGUUCGUUGUCGGGUACCUGAGUAGGUCCAUGGAAGCCCAGGCAAGCGAUCACCUUGCUGCCGUCAAGCACCUGCUCCGGUACAUCGCGGGUACGCUCACGCAUGGAUGCGUGUACCGUCGUGGCGAUGGCGAGAGGUUGGUCGGGUACAGCGACUCUGACCACGCUGGUGACAUGGACUCCCGGAAGAGCACCUCGGGCAUACUAUUCCUUCUCGGAAAUAGUCCCAUCAGCUGGCAAUCGAUGAGGCAGAAGGUUGUCGUUGUAUCUUCGUGCGAGAAGGAGUACAUCGCGGCAGCUACAGCGGCCUGUCAAGGCAUUUGGCUUGCUCGCCUUCUCGGCGAGAUGCUGAAUCAGGACACCGCCCCUGCGCUCAUCUUCGUCGACAAUAAGUCGGCGAUUUCCCUCUGCAAGAAUCCAGUGCUUCACGACCGCAGCAAGCACAUCGAUCUCCGCUAUCACUUCAUACGUGACUGA